rnacentral:tRNA from 1 species
GGAGAGUUGGCAGAGUGGUUGAAUGCGGCGGUCUUGAAAACCGUUGAGCCGAAAGGUUCCGAGGGUUCGAAUCCUUCACUCUCCG